GCGAGUUAAACAAUCGUUCAUCUUUUAAAUUUCCCCGCCCAAUAUGUGUUUGACAGUCCUGUCAGUGUUGUGUUUGUGUGCGUGCGAUGUGCUUGUGCAAUAAUCAAAAGCAAGCGACGCGUGUAAGAAGAGGGUGAAGUGUUAAAUGUGUGUUUGUUAAGUGGUGUCAGAUAGAGAUAGCAGCAAAGUGGGAGGCAGACGGUUAUCGGAAAUGGUUUAUUUAUUUUUCGUGUGACUUUUAGCAAACUUCUACGUUCUGCUGCUGCUGCUCCUGCUGAUAAGGUGCGUUAUGUUGAGUUGGUGUAGUGAAAUACGAAAAAAAAUAGCACUCCCCUCGUAGUGUAUAAUGUACGUGCGAUUUGCGAUUAAGGUUAACUGCAGACGCUACACUGGACACAUAUUACGCAAAGUAAAGAAUUUGUCCACAUACAGCGAGUGUGAAAAUGUCUGACGAUGACGCUCCACGUACAACCGUGUCCCCGCCAUUAAACUGCGCAAAAAUUGAGGCCGCAUCAUCACCCGUUGAGUUCCAAGAACUUGAACACCCCUUCGUAAAGGGGGAAAACGUUUCGGACGGUGUGAAAGUGAAACCCGAAACAGAAUCACCGGAAUCGAACGAUACGUGUGUAGUGCAGCUCCGAUCGAAUGACCAUGAAGCGUCAAAAGUCAAGCAACGAAAAUGUGUACAAUUUACGACCACAACAACCAUACCGCCCGGCACUGCAGAUGAUACGCUGCGCAAGUUCAUCGAAGGUGAGGAAAUAUUGGACAAAAAGAACCCGUUCAAAAUCGACGAACAGCAGUACGAUGCGGAGCAGUAUGCGGACCGUCGAAUGCUACACAACGCCACCGUGCGCGAUAAAUGCUUUCCCGAUGACGGGGCAACGUUCCUUACCGAAUCUCCCGAUGGUGGUGGUAACGAUGCGGACGAUUCUGACACCGAUCUGGACGAUAACGUUUUCAUAACGAAGGAAGAAAUACUGCGACAAUCGAAGUACGUGAAGACGUACAUAAAAAAUCCUGAUAAGCAGCUCAAUUAUGAUAAAAGUGUAAUCCAACAAAUGGACGCACUGAAAGCGAAAGGGCUUGCGGUGCGUGAUGUGGUAGUGGUUGAAAGUGCACCCAUGCCCGCAGUCGUAAGGCCACCGAUACCGGCACCGCGGGCCAUUCAUCGUCAGAGCGAUCGAAACAACAACAAUCGAAGGCAAAGCUUCUUACCGCAAAUGAGCCGCGGUGGAAUGCGUAAACCGAUACCGCGAGCGAGACGUGACUAUGCCGAGGUAAAGGUGCGCACCGGUUCGGCCGAAGCUGAAGAAUCGCUGUACGAUUCGAAUGAGGUCGUACAGAAUGCGCUGAAGUUUGAUAGCCGGUUUAGGAAGGUGGAAUUUGGCUCGCAAGAUGAUAUCGAUACGAUCGCCGAAAGGACGGAAGAUGGAACGGAUCAACCGGCGGUUUCCGUUUGUACGGUACAACAUGAAACACGUCCAGCUGUGAGGGAAAAGGAACCGAAUGCUUCCCCGAGUAAGGAUCGGUCCGAUGGGCGCAAGACGACCUUUGCCGAGGAUGUAAAGAAAUCGUUCUCAAACACGGUGAAAAGUGCCGACUUCCGAAAGUACCUUCAAAGCAAAGGACUCUCCCUAGUGCCGGCAAAACCGAAACCGAUCGAGCCUUCUCAGCCGGGCCGCAGACCGCAUGAGACGGAUUCCCCCAACAAGGCUCAUCGACUAUCAACAAUCUCUGUCAGCAGCACACCAGCUCCAGGACGCCACACGCCGGUGAAACCUUCGAUGCUAACGCGCUUCUUUCAAAACAGUCUAUUCGCACCAAAAACUCCAAAUGAUCCUGCUUAUUCUUCGGUGUUUGCACGAUCUUCCACACCGGUUCUUUUUAGUACGCAACCGCGCCAAACCCGACCACAGCCGCCGGCACGAAUUGGUAGUUUUAACAGCUCGCUAAGCAAACGGUCCGCCGCCACGGUGGAUGUUAAACCAAAGGAUAAUUUUAGACAGUUGGUAGAAGGACGGGGUGAUACGAUGAACGCUCCCGUGAGCAGGCGUCCUGCUUCGGUAAAUGAUUUUGAGCGACCCAAAUUGCGCUCGCAACUCGCCAAUAGAUCUGCAUCCUUGGUGGACUCUUUAAAGCGCCCAGUGAAAAAUGCUGGCGUACAAGUAAACCUAGCCACGGAUGCAUCUAACAAAGGACAAAUAGUGCGUAAUAGUCAGUUGGCUGAGAUGCAGCAGCGGUUCAUAGCCUCGCAACCGAAUGGUGGUGCUGGUGCCGGUGGUCUACCACUCAAAGAUCCUGUCGUUGGACAGAAGUAUCAGCAUCAUCCGGUCACUUAUCACUCGCUACGACAGCGACCGGAUGCUCGUUUUUAUGGAGGAUCGAUGCACACGGUAGCUCCACUCUAUUCGGAACCGCUGCGCGAUGCACAAAUGCGCGUGCCGGAUGAAACGGAUUCAGGAUUCCGCUCGACACUGGACAAUGGAUAUCACAUCUACGAACAAACGCCUGAUAAUUUGAGACGCAGCGAAAUGCUUUACGGUAAAAUCGGUUACCUUAGCAACACGCAGCUAAACCGAUGGCAGCCACAGGAUCGUCGAUCGUACAGCAGCAUGCAGGAAGGUGUAACUGGGAUGAACGGUGGAACGUACGGUCGUUUGCGGCCACUCUACGUUUCCUCUCCCAUGUCCACCCAAUCGACACCGGUACGUCGCGCCUCGGAUGUAAUGGAUCGCGAGCAAAUUCUUCAUCGUAUCUACGAUUUCUGUCGCCGAUCGAUACGCAACAGCAGCAAAACGAGCGUACACUCGAACCAAACGGAACCAACCUACCAGAGCAAUAAUGUGUACGGUUCGAAAAUUGUCCCUAGUGGAUCCUUUCCCGUCGAACGACAACGGGUACAACGAGUACAAAGUUUAAACACUCCAAGACCGAUCGCAACAAACCAUGGUGCGUUGAAUUAUACCAGAGCGGUUGCCGUGCCUGUACCGAUGAACUCGUUUAAUCAGGCAAACCUCACGACAGCUUCGCAAAACCAGCACGAGCGUAAUAUUGAGAAUAUUUACGCGUUCGUGAAUAAAAAAAUGGUCCAAAUGAAUGUAGGUGGUGCGGUCGAUCAUCGUAACAACAUACGAUCGGUGCAAACAUCCGCCCCAUCCACCCUACGUCGGGUGACAUUUUCGAGCAAAGGUACAGGACACGAUGGCCUGACGGAUGGGCUCGAGGAAGCCGAUUACGUGAACAUUCGUGGUGCUCCAGAUGGGCUACUAACAUACGGAAUUGGUUCACUUUGAAAAUGCUUUACAAUGCCUGGAGCGCUUUAUAUUUAGCAGCAGAAGUAAGCUUGUGUCAGUCACCAGGUUGUGCACUGGGGGUUGGUAUCCAGUACAGAACUACACAAUGCUGAGAGAUUUCAAUUAUGGUGCCACACGUGCCCGAUACUUUCGUAAGAAGAUCGUGAUAGCAGAGCAAAAGCAAUACAGUAUUCUAAACAAAAAAAAAGCCGAAACACGCUAACGAUGACGUAUAUAGUUCUUCGCAAAUAUAGCUAGCAAGCAGCAAACAAAAAACAUAAGCAAACACAUUUUGAAUCCUAUUAGAAUCUAUAACGGAGCAUAGUUUUGCUAAAACCAUUUUUUAAUAUUGCGCGCAUUAUACCUACUAUUAUACCAUAAUACAUUCAUACAAAUAUAUAUCUAUGAAAAACAAA